CCAAAACUCAAUUGGUCUGUGUGUUUCAUCAUUGAUAUCCACAGCACUGGCUCUUAACGAACGUAGUGUCUUCUGAUCAUUGGCCCAACUGUCAACGUUGAUUAUCACCUACCUGUACUCCACUAUCACGCUGUGAAGGUGAAAGGGGUUACAGAAUUGGCGAGCCAGCCAGGAGCCAGUUAGGUGAAUAUCAGUGCUGGAAUCACAUGUAUAAUGGAUUUUGUACAGAGGUGUGGUGUUAAAAUCCCAAAUGCUGUCAUUAUUAGUGGGGCCACCCAAGUAGUAGGUCAGGAUGGACAGAUCAUUGACUUCCUUAAGAAGUAUGGUUCUAUUAAGAAUACCUUUUCUGUUGACGAAGAAACGUCAGAAUUUCACCAAAACCUGAUCGUUGAGUACUCGUACGGCACAGCAGUAGAAGAUCUGAGGGCGAUCCUGCCAUAUAGGUACACAGUGCAGGAUGACCCAUGUAUUGUAUAUACUGUUAGGACACUAUGUAGUGUGUACCAAGCCGAAGUUGGCGCUAACAUUACCAAGAACUACCUAACUGAGCUUAAGACCUUAGCUAGGCUAAGCGGAAUAGAGUAUGAGCAGGUACUGAAGGGAAUGAUGUCCCAGAUUAGUGAGGAUAUUGAAGCUAUGAGCCCUGUGAUUGAAGAGGGUUCUCCCAUGCAUUCUGGGCUCACUAUUGGGACCCCGCAGAUUGUUGCCCCCGGUUCACUCUCAGAUGCUCUUCAGGGAAACAUUGGUCCUAAUGUCGCCAGCUCAGUUCCGAUCUUUAAUGAAGGGAGAGCUCCUUCGCUUUCAGUGAGUAGCAUGAAUCCCCAAGAAGUACAGAAGGUCGUGGUUGAGCAUAUUGUGAGGAGAGAAGAUGUUGUCCCACACUUGCCGUCUCAGGAAGAUCCUUGAGAGCUUACUCGCACCUGCAGCUGACGUAGUUAAGGGGCUACGGCCCGAUUCGUCCCCCUCAACCUACCUGCAGCUGCUUGAUUCAGCUUUUGGCACCGUGGAAGAUGGGGAGGAACUCUUUGCCCAGUUCUUGAAUACCCUCCAGGACCCGGGUGAGAGGCCGUCAACCUACCUUCAUCGACUGCAGGUAGCAAUAAGCCUGGCGGUAAAAAGGGGUGGGGUUGCACCAUUAUUAGUAGAUAAGCACCUUCUUAAACAGUUCUGUAGGGGGUGUUGGGAUAAUGCUCUGCUUUCCACCCUGCAACUCGAACAAAGGAAAAGCAGCCCGCCUCCAUCAAUCGUCCAUGAUUCACCCCAAAUGUUACUAAACUGCACGAACAUGUUAUUUAACGAUCCCCUGUAAAACCUAACUUUACCAUAAAUAACUUGGGCUCAUAAAAGAAGCCAGGAUGCUCAUCUGGGCCAUUAGAUCGGCAAGCAGGAUGCUUAUCU